UACGUAGGGGGCGAGCGUUGUCCGGAAUUAUUGGGCGUAAAGAGCUCGUAGGCGGCUUGUCGCGUCGUCCGUGAAAACCCACAGCUCAACUGUGGGCUUGCGGUCGAUACGGGCAGGCUAGAGUUCGGUAGGGGAGACUGGAAUUCCUGGUGUAGCGGUGAAAUUCGUAGAUAUUAGGAGGAACACCGAUGGCGAAGGCAGGUCUCUGGGCAUUAACUGACGCUGAGGAGCGAAAGCAUGGGGAGCGAACAGG
rnacentral:rRNA from 1 species